rnacentral:rRNA from 1 species
UACGUAGGGUGCAAGCGUUAAUCGGAAUUACUGGGCGUAAAGCGUGCGCAGGCGGUUGUGCAAGACAGAUGUGAAAUCCCCGGGCUCAACCUGGGAACUGCAUUUGUGACUGCACGGCUGGAGUGCGGCAGAGGGGGAUGGAAUUCCGCGUGUAGCAGUGAAAUGCGUAGAUAUGCGGAGGAACCCCGAUGGCGAAGGCAAUCCCCUGGGCCUGCACUGACGCUCAUGCACGAAAGCGUGGGGAGCAAACAGG